rnacentral:rRNA from 1 species
CACGUAGGGCGCAAGCGUUGUCCGGAAUUAUUGGGCGUAAAGAGCUCGUAGGCGGUCUGUUGCGUCCGCUGUGAAAACUCGGGGCUUAACCCCGAGCCUGCAGUGGAUACGGGCAGACUAGAGGUAGGUAGGGGAGAAUGGAAUUCCCGGUGUAGCGGUGGAAUGCGCAGAUAUCGGGAGGAACACCGGUGGCGAAGGCGGCGACCUGGGUUGAUACUGACGCCGAGGAGCGAAAGCGUGGGGAGCGAACAGG